UUUAGAUCUGAAGAAAGCAGUACG
rnacentral:misc_RNA from 1 species